CCUACGGGAGGCAGCAGUGAGGAAUAUUGGUCAAUGGACGCAAGCCUGAACCAGCCAUGUCGCGUGCAGGAAGACGGCUCUAUGAGUUGUAAACUGCUUUUGUACGAGGGUAAAGGGAGAUACGUGUAUCUGUUUGUAUGUAUCGUAUGAAUAAGGAUCGGCUAACUCCGUGCCAGCAGCCGCGGUAAUACGGAGGAUUCGAGCGUUAUCCGGAUUUAUUGGGUUUAAAGGGUGCGUAGGCGGUCGGUUAAGUUAGAGGUGAAAUCCUGAGGCUCAACUUUGGAAUUGCAUUUGAUACUGGCAGGCUAGAGAGUAGUUGAGGUAGGCGGAAUGUAUGGUGUAGCGGUGAAAUGCUUAGAGAUCAUGCAGAACACCGAUUGCGAAGGCAGCUUACCAAGCUACUUCUGACGUUGAGGCACGAAAGCGUGGGGAGAAAACAGGAUUAGAUACCCCAGUAGUC
rnacentral:rRNA from 1 species